rnacentral:rRNA from 1 species
UACGAAGGGGGCUAGCGUUGUUCGGAAUCACUGGGCGUAAAGCGCUUGUAGGCGGAUCUUUAAGUCAGAGGUGAAAUCCCAAGGCUCAACCUUGGAACUGCCUUUGAUACUGGGGAUCUCGAGUCCGGGAGAGGUGAGUGGAACUGCGAGUGUAGAGGUGAAAUUCGUAGAUAUUCGCAAGAACACCAGUGGCGAAGGCGGCUCACUGGCCCGGUACUGACGCUGAGGAGCGAAAGCAUGGGUAGCGAACAGG